UUCAUCUGGGUGGCGACAUUCCUCAUCAUGACCCUUGUGCAUUUGGACUUAGGGCUCCUGAUUGGCAAUGUAUUCUCCUGUUUCACAGUGGUACUUAGGACACAAGUAGGCAAACCCACACACUUGGCAAAGGUAUCAGACGAGGAGGUAUUCCGAGAUCCCAAGCACUACAUUCGGACAACGGUUCACAACAAUAUCAAGGUGAUCGUCUACCACUUCUACGCAAACGGUGAAAUUUUCACGAGCGAGGUGUAUCGCUUGGCAACAAUCAAGCCUUGAAGAAGCACAUCCGACGAGUUUCCAUGGCAAGCAGCACAAGUUCAGCCAGUUUGAGCGCCUCUUAUUCGAGCCUCACCAGAGCUGACAGUGUCAUUGAAGUGGAGCAUGCCUUCCCCAUCAUAGACCCCAUGCAUGUCCUACCCGGUGGUGUUCAAGUACCCGCUGUCCCACAUCAUACAGGACCUGUCUGGGGUCUCUUUUGUUGAUACAGUUGGCUGCAAAGUUGUCAAAAACUUUGAGAUCGUUCCCACUUACAAGGACAGUAUUUUCCUAACGAUAGAGGAUGCUUUUAAGGCAGCAUGCGAAGAGGUGGAGAAUCACAACGUCACUGACAAGCAAGGCGA